GAUGAACGCUGGCGGCGUGCCUAAUACAUGCCAGUCGAGCGAACAGAUGAGGAGCUUGCUCCUCUGACGUUAGCGGCGGACGGGUGAGUAACACGUGGAUAACCUACCUAUAAGACUGGGAUAACUUCGGGAAACCGGAGCUAAUACCGGAUAAUAUAUUGAACCGCAUGGUUCAAUAGUGAAAGACGGUUUUGCUGUCACUUAUAGAUGGAUCCGCGCCGCAUUAGCUAGUUGGUAAGGUAACGGCUUACCAAGGCGACGAUGCGUAGCCGACCUGAGAGGGUGAUCGGCCACACUGGAACUGAGACACGGUCCAGACUCCUACGGGAGGCAGCAGUAGGGAAUCUUCCGCAAUGGGCGAAAGCCUGACGGAGCAACGCCGCGUGAGUGAUGAAGGUCUUCGGAUCGUAAAACGCUGUUAUUAGGGAAGAACAAAUGUGUAAGUAACUAUGCACGUCUUGACGGUACCUAAUCAGAAAGCCACGGCUAACUACGU
rnacentral:rRNA from 1 species